UCCGUAGGUGGAUAAUUAAGUCAGAGGUGAAAUCCUGCAGCUCAACUGUAGAAUUGCCUUUGAUACUGGUUAUCUUGAGUCAUUAUGAAGUGGUUAGAAUGUGUAGUGUAGCGGAGAAAUGCAUAGAUAUUACACAGAAUACCGAUUGCGAAAGCAGAUCACUAAUAAUGUACUGACACUGAGGGACGAAAGCGUGGGGAGCGAACAGGAUUAGAUACCCUGGUAGUCC
rnacentral:rRNA from 1 species